CAGAUAACUGUUGAGGUUGGAAUGGACCUCUGGAACCCAUUUAGCCCAACCCCUUCUCGAAACAGGGGGUUUGCAGCAGCGGAUUGCUCAGGGAUAGUCAUCAUAACCAGAUUUGGAAUUUCCAUUGACGUCAAUAGAACUGUUGAGUAAAAUUAGGGAGGAUAGUCUAAGCUCUAGCUGAGAAUUGAAAUGACACAACAGUUCUGGAAAGCCUGGGAGCGUCUUUGGGCAUAGACACUGAUUGUUGUGCGAGCGUAUCCUACAGACACAGGAACUCUAGGACUCAGUUUGAACCACAAGAAAACUCUAAGAGGCAUUGGAAAUGGAAGAAAGAGUCUGGCACACAUUUUAGCCUUAAUAUCAGUCCUAGAAAUACCUUCAAAUGAAAGUUACAAUACAAGGAAUUUACGUAUAUCCACGAAUGUAUACCUCAGCAACUGUUCAUCUGUUAGUGGGUGUUUUAAUAUCUGCACAGAAUGAAUCUU